UUGCUUCAGCAGCAAAUAUAUUAAAACUGAAAUGAUACAGAGAAAAUUAGCAUGGUCCAUGCACAAGGAUGACAUGCAAAUUUAUGAAGCGUUCCAUAUGUUU
ensembl:snRNA U6 U6 spliceosomal RNA